rnacentral:rRNA from 1 species
AGUGAACGCUGGCGGUAGGCCUAACACAUGCAAGUCGAACGGCAGCACAGUAAGAGCUUGCUCUUACGGGUGGCGAGUGGCGGACGGGUGAGGAAUACAUCGGAAUCUACUUUUUCGUGGGGGAUAACGUAGGGAAACUUACGCUAAUACCGCAUACGACCUACGGGUGAAAGCAGGGGAUCUUCGGACCUUGCGCGAUUGAAUGAGCCGAUGUCGGAUUAGCUAGUUGGCGGGGUAAAGGCCCACCAAGGCGACGAUCCGUAGCUGGUCUGAGAGGAUGAUCAGCCACACUGGAACUGAGACACGGUCCAGACUCCUACGGGAGGCAGCAGUGGGGAAUAUUGGACAAUGGGCGCAAGCCUGAUCCAGCCAUACCGCAUGGGUGAAGAAGGCCUUCGGGUUGUAAAGCCCUUUUGUUGAGAAAGAAAAGCAGCAGGUUAAUACCCCGCUGUUCUGACGGUACCCAAAGAAUAAGCACCGGCUAACUUCGUG